rnacentral:rRNA from 1 species
GUGGCAGCAGCCGCGGUAAUACCGGCAGCACGAGUGAUGGCCGAUCUUAUUGGGCCUAAAGCGUCCGUAGCUGGCUGUGCAAGUCCGUCGGGAAAUCCACUCGCUCAACGAGUGGGCGUCCGACGGAAACUGCACAGCUUGGGACCGGAAGGCUCGAAGGGUACGUUCGGGGUAGGAGUGAAAUCCCAUAAUCCCGCACGGACCACCGAUGGCGAAAGCACUUCGAGAAAACGGAUCCGACAGUGGGGGACGAAAGCCAGGGUCUCCAACCGGAUUAGAAACCCCAGUAGUCC